AUUGAACGCUGGCGGCAGGCUUAACACAUGCAAGUCGAGCGGGGGAAGGUAGCUUGCUACCGGACCUAGCGGCGGACGGGUGAGUAAUGCUUAGGAAUCUGCCUAUUAGUGGGGGACAACAUCUCGAAAGGGAUGCUAAUACCGCAUUCGUCCUACGGGAGAAAGCAGGGGAUCUUCGGACCUGGCGCUAAUAGAUGAGCCUAAGUCGGAUUAGCUAGUUGGUGGGGUAAAGGCCUACCAAGGCGACGAUCUGUAGCGGGUCUGAGAGGAUGAUCCGCCACACUGGGACUGAGACACGGCCCAGACUCCUACGGGAGGCAGCAGUGGGGAAUAUUGGACAAUGGGGGGAACCCUGAUCCAGCCAUGCCGCGUGUGUGAAGAAGGCCUUAUGGUUGUAAAGCACUUUAAGCGAGGAGGAGGCUACUCUAGUUAAUACCUAGGGAUAGUGGACGUUACUCGCAGAAUAAGCACCGGCUAACUCUGUGCCAGCCGCCGCCGUAA
rnacentral:rRNA from 1 species